rnacentral:lncRNA from 1 species
CUAUCCUUACCCACUCGCACCGUCCAUCUAAGUGGCGAUUUCAUUGAAAUCGUUGACCCAUGAUGAGUCUGAGUUUGCUGUAACUGCGAUACAGAUCAGAAAGUUGACUAGGAAUCGUGGUUGCCUCUAUAUCUUGAUGUAGUAAUAAAAUAUUUUAUAUUUUAUAUUUUUAUUUUUUCUUAUUUUUUUAUUUUUAAAUAUUUUUUAAAAUUAUUUUUAAGUAUUUUUAUU